rnacentral:misc_RNA from 1 species
CCCCCCUCAGCGCGCCCCCGGCGCCUGGCGUUGGGGCCCUGCGCGCCCUCCGGCGCGCGCAGGCCCCGAAAGCGAGUGGCGGGCCGGCCGCGGGCCCCGAGCGCAGUAGCCUCUCCGCUCCGGGCGCCCCCGGCCGCGCCUGGCCGCGAAACCCCCCACCGCCUUUCAGG